GGAAGGCCUCCCUAGGAUGUACCCAGUGGGCCCCAGGAAGGCCUGCCCAGCACUGAGGCCCCGUGAGGCCGGCAGCAGGGUCCUCCCCAGGCUUCCCCCUACAGCUCAGAGCUCGAAGCGGGCGCCAGGGGAGCCUCCGUCAUUGCGAUGCAGCCCCAGCCUCACGGAGGUGACAGGUGAGGGGCAGCCACCUUACCCGGCCGCCUGACCCAGGGAAAUGAAGUAGCAUCUUCUGUUCAGUGUGCGUUUGUGAAGAAUGAGAACGAAGAAUUUCGGCGGAAACACCUUGCAGCAUCUAAAGAGCUUUCUAUGUGCUGGGGUACCCCAACCCUGCCUCAAGGGAUGGGGUCGGCUGUCCUUUCUCCAAGGCCCUGACAGCGCCUGACCACACGACUGAGCUGUCACAUGGCUCAGAGGAUGAACACCACGUUUCCAGAAGGUGUGAAAUCAGGGCUGCUCUGGGAAACCCCAGAUGGAUGUCAUUGCACCUCUGGGACCUGAUCCUGACUCCCAGGGUGGGGUUUGCAGAACCAUCUGGGGCUUCGGGCUCAGGCAAACCCGGGCGCCAAUCCCUACGUCACCUUGAGCUAGGCACUUG
rnacentral:lncRNA from 1 species